UGAUGAUAAAUCAUCCGAGCAUGACGUUUACGGAGUAACUGCGCUUGGCUCAACACUCAACCACCCACAAUACUCCGAUAUUGCAGUAAGCUCUCUCAUCCUUUGUAUGCUCAAGCUGACCUCCCAUGGACUCCUGAUACUUCGCAAUCGACAUUCAACUAGUGCCUUCAUGUGGUGUCACGGUAUUUCCUGCUGGCCGAAAUCAUCCACUUGCUGUUAUCGCCGCGAAAGAAAAUGGCAUUAUAACCACAGAAGAUGGAGUGACAAAUGCUUGGUCGGGUGUAAAAUGACCAGCUGAGCUCAAGGCGGAGUUAUUUUACCUCUAAAAAAAAAUCUCCUGUGGCCUGUCGAAGGAUAAUAUCAGUUUGA